rnacentral:rRNA from 1 species
GAUGAACGCUGGCGGCGUGCCUAAUACAUGCAAGUCGAGCGAACAGAUAAGGAGCUUGCUCCUUUGACGUUAGCGGCGGACGGGUGAGUAACACGUGGGUAACCUACCUAUAAGACUGGAAUAACUCCGGGAAACCGGGGCUAAUGCCGGAUAACAUGUUGAACCGCAUGGUUCUACAGUGAAAGACGGUCUUGCUGUCACUUAUAGAUGGACCCGCGCCGUAUUAGCUAGUUGGUGGGGUAACGGCCUACCAAGGCGACGAUACGUAGCCGACCUGAGAGGGUGAUCGGCCACACUGGAACUGAGACACGGUCCAGACUCCUACGGGAGGCAGCAGUAGGGAAUCUUCCGCAAUGGGCGAAAGCCUGACGGAGCAACGCCGCGUGAGUGAUGAAGGUCUUCGGAUCGUAAAGCUCUGUUGUUAGGGAAGAACAAAUGUGUAAGUAACUGUGCACAUCUUGACGGUACCUAACCAGAAAGCCACGGCUAACUACGUGCCAGCAGCCGCGGUAAUACGUAGGUGGCAAGCGUUAUCCGGAAUUAUUGGGCGUAAAGCGCGCGUAGGCGGUUUUUUAAGUCUGAUGUGAAAGCCCACGGCUCAACCGUGGAGGGUCAUUGGAAACUGGAAAACUUGAGUGCAGAAGAGGAAAGUGGAAUUCCAUGUGUAGCGGUGAAAUGCGCAGAGAUAUGGAGGAACACCAGUGGCGAAGGCGGCUUUCUGGUCUGCAACUGACGCUGAUGUGCGAAAGCGUGGGGAUCAAACAGGAUUAGAUACCCUGGUAGUCCACGCCGUAAACGAUGAGUGCUAAGUGUUAGGGGGUUUCCGCCCCUUAGUGCUGCAGCUAACGCAUUAAGCACUCCGCCUGGGGAGU